AGACUCCUGCGGGAGGCAGCAGUCGGGAAUUUUGGGCAAUGGGGGAAACCCUGACCCAGCAACGCCGCGUGAGGGAUGAAGGCCCUCGGGUCGUAAACCUCUGUCGGAAGGGAAGAAAGGUCUCCGUUCGAAUAGAGCGGGGGCUUGACGGUACCUUCAAAGGAAGCACCGGCUAACUCCGUGCCAGCAGCCGCGGUAAUACGGAGGGUGCAAGCGUUGUUCGGAAUUACUGGGCGUAAAGCGCGUGUAGGCGGCCGGGCAAGUCGAGUGUGAAAUCCCAGGGCUCAACCCUGGAACUGCACCCGAAACUGCUUGGCUAGAGUCCCGGAGAGGGUGGCGGAAUUUCCGGUGUAGAGGUGAAAUUCGUAGAUAUCGGAAGGAACACCAGUGGCGAAGGCGGCCACCUGGACGGUGACUGACGCUGAGACGCGAAAGCGUGGGGAGCAAACAGGAUUAGAUACCCUGGUAGUCCACGCCGUAAACGUUGAGUGCUAGGCGUCGGGGGUAUUGACCCCUCCGGUGCCGGAGCUAACGCAUUAAGCACUCCGCCUGGGGAGUACGGCCGCAAGGCUAAAACUCAAAGGAAUUGACGGGGCCCGCACAGCGGU
rnacentral:rRNA from 1 species